AUCUGGACGGCUACUGAUGUUACAGUGGUUCUAAGAGAAAACUUCUUUGGCGAUCACUCCCUUGCAGCUAAGCUUGCAACACCAAAAUGGCGACCUCUUCCUCAACUUUCACUCGAAACCCUACUUCCAUUGCCACCUCCUUCAAUUCCAAACUCUCCCUCUCUCUCUUCUCUCCUCGCUCUAUUAAGCUCCCCUACAUUCAUCCACAACCCAUCAUCAAAACCCUUGGCUCCCACGCGCGGCCGCUCCCCGUCCUACGCGCCUCCGCCACUCCCUCAGCUGAGUCCACCAACGCAACCACAUUCCAUGGAAUCUGUUACGUUGUUGGCGAUAACAUCGAUACCGACCAGAUCAUCCCCGCCGAGUACCUCACUCUUGUACCCUCAAACCCAGCCGAAUAUGAAAAGCUCGGUUCCUAUGCCCUAAUUGGCCUCCCGGCCUCUUACGAGACCCGGUUCAUUGAACCGAACGAAAUGAAAACGAAAUACUCAAUAGUUAUUGGCGGCGACAAUUUCGGAUGUGGUUCAUCGCGUGAGCAUGCGCCGGUUGCUCUUGGUGCUGCUGGAGUUGCGGCUGUGGUUGCGGAGUCUUAUGCUCGCAUCUUCUUCAGGAACUCGGUGGCCACUGGGGAGAUAUAUCCCCUGGAAUCGGAGGUUAGGAUUUGUGAGGAAUGCAAAACUGGGGAUGUGGUGACUAUUGAGCUCGCGGAGAGUCGCUUGAUUAAUCACACUACUGGCAAGGAAUACAAGCUGAAGCCCAUUGGGGAUGCCGGGCCGGUGAUUGAGGCCGGGGGCAUUUUCGCCUACGCGAGGAAGACGGGGAUGAUCCCAUCACAAUCCUGCUAGAAUUGAGUUGCAGGCACUUUGUGCUAUGAUCAGUGCUGGCUAGAUUCACAGACCAGCGGUCGCGUAGUUUAGUUGCUGAGUUCUCCUAGUUCUACUUGUGUAUUCAAAUGCAAAGCUUGUCAUGUAGGAACAUUUCAUGUUUGGAAGCAGUUGAAUGUAUCAGGACCUAAGUGAGUGAUGCCAGAGUGAUCAUUUUGUUGUUCUAGUGAUUUCAGGUUGUUGAAGCUCAAGUUGGUGAUUUGUUUCUUCUAUUUUGCUAGUUAUGUUGCCGCAGCCAUGUCAAAAUAAACAAUGAUAUUUUAAUAAUUUAAUAUUGUUUAAGUUACGUAUGUAAUUUAACAUGAAAUUUGCUUUCAAUUUUUAUUGUCUAUUCCACAAAAAUAUUAAAAAAAAAUGAAAAUUGUCGUGGGU
rnacentral:misc_RNA from 1 species